UGGGGAAUAUUGGACAAUGGGGGCAACCCUGAUCCAGCAAUGCCGCGUGUGUGAAGAAGGUCUUCGGAUUGUAAAGCACUUUCGACGGGGACGAUGAUGACGGUACCCGUAGAAGAAGCCCCGGCUAACUUCGUGCCAGCAGCCGCGGUAAUACGAAGGGGGCUAGCGUUGCUCGGAAUGACUGGGCGUAAAGGGCGUGUAGGCGGUUUACACAGUCAGAUGUGAAAUCCCCGGGCUUAACCUGGGAGCUGCAUUUGAUACGUGUAGACUAGAGUGUGAGAGAGGGUUGUGGAAUUCCCAGUGUAGAGGUGAAAUUCGUAGAUAUUGGGAAGAACACCGGUGGCGAAGGCGGCAACCUGGCUCAUUACUGACGCUGAGGCGCGAAAGCGUGGGGAGCAAACAGGAUUAGAUACCCUGGUAGUCCACGCUGUAAACGAUGUGUGCUAGAUGUUGGGUAACUUUG
rnacentral:rRNA from 1 species